GGGUUGUGAGGUUAAGCGACUAAGCGUACACGGUGGAUGCCCUGGCAGUCAGAGGCGAUGAAGGACGUGCUAAUCUGCGAUAAGCGUCGGUAAGGUGAUAUGAACCGUUAUAACCGGCGAUUUCCGAAUGGGGAAACCCAGUGUGUUUCGACACACUAUCAUUAACUGAAUCCAUAGGUUAAUGAGGCGAACCGGGGGAACUGAAACAUC
rnacentral:rRNA from 1 species